GACGAACGCUGGCGGCGUGCUUAACACAUGCAAGGCGAACGGAAAGGCCCUGCUUUCGUGGGGUGCUCGAGUGGCGAACGGGGGAGUAACACGCGAGUAACCUGCUCUUGACUUUGGGAUAACUUCACGAAACUGGGGCUAAUACCGGAUAGGAGCUCCUGCUGCACGGCGGGGGUUGGAAAGUUUCGGCGGUUGGGGAUGGACUCGCGGCUUAUCAGCUUGUUGGUGGGGUAGUGGCUUACCAAGGCUUUGACGGGUAGCCGGCCUGAGAGGGUGACCGGCCACAGUGGGACUGAGCUCUGGACCAGACUCCUCCGGGGGGCCGCAGUGGGGAAUGUUGCACGAUGGGCGGAAGCCUGAUGCAGCAACGCCGCGUGCGGGAUGACGGCCUUCGGGUUGUAAACCGCUUUCGCCUGUGCCGAAGCGUGAGUGACGGUACUGGGUAAAGAAGCACCGGCUAACUACGUG
rnacentral:rRNA from 1 species